UACGUAGGGUGCAAGCGUUGUCCGGAAUUAUUGGGCGUAAAGAGCUCGUAGGCGGUCUGUCGCGUCUGCUGUGAAAACUCAGGGCUUAACCCUGAGCUUGCAGUGGGUACGGGCAGACUAGAGUGCGGGUAGGGGAGACUGGGAAUUCCUGGGUGAUAGCGGUGAAAUGCGCAGAUAUCAGGAGGAACACCGGUGGCGAAGGCGGGUCUCUGGGCCGUAACUGACGGCUGGAGGAGCGAAAGCAUGGGGAGCGAACAGG
rnacentral:rRNA from 1 species